UACGUAGGGUCCAAGCGUUAUCCGGAUUUACUGGGUGUAAAGGGCGAGUAGACGGCGCAAUAAGUCAGAUGUGAAAUCUUAGGGCUCAACCUUAAGACUGCAUCUGAAACUGUUGUGCUAGAGUGCAGAAGAGGUAAGUGGAAUUCCUAGUGUAGCGGUGAAAUGCGUAGAUAUUAGGAGGAACACCAGUGGCGAAGGCGACUUACUGGGCUGUAACUGACGUUGAGGCGCGAAAGUGUGGGGAGCAAACAGG
rnacentral:rRNA from 1 species